GGGGCCCUGAUCCCUUACUGGCCCUGAAUGCCACUCAGAUGGCAGUCCUGGGACUCUUAUGUGCCAUUUUCGCAGUCCUUGGGUCUGGGGACCCUAGAGAAACCCCAUCUCAGGGUCCUGAGCUCAUGCCAGGGGUUAUACGCAGGUGUUCCAUUCCUGUCAGCUAUCAUGAAGGAGUGUGUGGAGUUAACCCAGGGUCAGGUACCAGGAAGUGCAAAUACAUAAAGGUAAAGCUGAGCUCAGGGUGUUCAGGAACCACGUGUCUCCUUUUCUGAUAUGAACAAAGAGCAGGUGUCAGGACGGGAAUGACUGAAAAGUUGGGUGUGUAUUCUGGAGGUAGUGGGAGGUUUGGGCCAGAGGAGAGAGGUAAUGUUAGCAAGGUGGAAACAGUCUCCUUCUGACUGUAAAGUGGAGAACAGACCAUGGGAAUGAGAGAGGAGCAAGGAAAUGCCGGGUGGAAGCUACUACUAUAGUCUAGGUGAGGGUUAAUGGACCGGGGCUGUGGUUUAGGGUGGUUGCAUUUCUGGAAGUGGCCAUGGGAUACAAGUUUUAAAACAGGGAAGCUGGGUUUUCUCAUGUGGGUGGUGAGGGAGGCAAACGGAGGUAUCAGGGAUAACCCCAGAGUGAUUGAUCUUCGCACCUGUAGGGAUGGAAGUUCCAACUGAGAUGAGGAAGUUGGUAGUAGGAAUAAUAUUCACUGGGGAUAUCAGGAGCUUUGUUUUGGCCACGUUAGGAGUCUGAGGUAUUUCAGAGAUCACUCAGUGGAGGCAUCAAAUUGGCAUCUAGAAACGCAAGUUGGGAAAUCAAAAGAGGGGUUCAAAUUGAAGACAUUCAAAAUGUGGUAGUUACUCUAUGGGCCCAAGUAAGUAACCUGUGGUUACAUUUAGGAGAUAUAAUCUUCAUAUUCAUGGUCAUGAAGCUGUUUAUGGGCCAGGAGGUGGAGGGUAGAGACUGAGCACUAGGUCUCUUGCUUGGGACCUGAGUGACGGCAUUGGAAUUCUUAAAUGCAGGUGAGGGAGGUAUGUGGCACUUAAGGUAGGGUGUAUCAGACAGACUAGUCUAGCAGGUGGCUGAGGCUUCCAGGAUAAGAGUGGACAUGAGAGACGUAGCGGGAAGGGGUAAUUGAGGCAAGAUGUCACUCAGGCCAGAGCUCUUGUUUAUUCACGUCUCUGUGGAUCCUCCAAGAUUUGUGAGGAUUUGGUGGGGGCUGGGAUGUUUCAUUCAGCCUGGUGGGUAUGAUCAGGGGCAAAUAUAUGGUCAUCUAUGAGAAUCAGUAGGACUGGGGUGGGUGAUACAUGGACCGGGCUCUGAAUGAGGGUUAGGUGGACACAGAAGGUUGUCAUUGCCGAGGAGACAGCCUGUGCAGCACAGAAAUGGAAGAAGGCCCUGGGUAUUGAGACCCACAACUGAUUCUGUGUGGCUGAGUCUCAGUAGGGAGGCCUUCAUAGAAGGAUUAGGUGUUUCCAACUCUAGUGGGAGCCAUGGGCAUUCUUGGCUUGUAUUGGGUUCUGUUUGAAUUUGCCAAGUAGCUCUGGAUGUUUUCUGCUAAGUUCAUUUUAUGGCUUAAAAUUAAGGUCCAUUUUUAUGUGCUGCCUUGACACCUGUUGAAGCCCCAAGUGGCUGAUGUGGCCAAGAGUGUAUUCUUGGGUAAAGUGUCCUAGCCAGGCAUCGCUUUUCAUCGAUAGGACCAGAGCACUUCCUGCUUCGGCCUUUGAAGUGGGCUUCACUUGUCUACCAGCCCAUGGAGUUAUUCACACAAGCCGUUCACAUCAUCCUGUGGGAACCAGAUGGUACCCCAACUCUUGAUCUUGUGAGACUUGCAUCUCACAGCCCCUGGUCGUUCACUCUUUUCUAGUAUACAGCAUUCACAUGGCCCUGUAAGGCGUGUGGUGUCCUCCCCUCUGGGCUGUGAAUAUAUGUAGUAAACUGCUGUUGAUCUCAUCUGUCCAGUGUCCGGUCCGGUACUUUGUGUUUGGCCGUCCCCAUAAGCCUAAGACAGGAAUUCUCAAACAAAAGUGACUUAUAGGGAGGCCAAGGAGAUGCCUGUGCCACGUGGCAUUGUGCCACCAGUGUCCAGGAACAUAAGGCUGUGCAUUCUGAAGAAUACUUGGAGAGGGAGUAUGUCUGAAGGUCCCAGGGCCCUAGGAAUGACACUUACACGACAGAUCAUAUCAGGGUGGAGGAGUAGCUUGACAGAAGUGGGUGCAUUCAUCCACCCAGGACCACAGCUCAGACAUCUGUUCACCUGUGUGUUGUUGCUGAUGCUCAGACCUCAUGACUCAUGAGCCCACGAGUAACCAGCAGAGCAAGCUGUCCCAAGGCCUGGUUUGUUUCCUAGGUUGGAGGCUUGGGAGGAGGGUGAUCUUGGGGUAGAUGUGUACAGGAGGGAUUGGGUGCUCAGGAGACGGGCUCUUGGUGGUUUCAUCUGUCACCAUCAUGACAGGACACUGUGACUUUUGAAGACGUGGCUGUGUACCUGUCCCGGCAGGAGUGGGGUCUCCUUGAUGAGUUUCAGAGACACUUCUACCACGAUGUGAUGCUGGAAAACUUUGAACUUACAGUCUUUCUGGGUGGUUGGUGUGGAGGAGACCACGAGGAGGAGCAUUUCUGUAGGCGUGCCACAAGUGAGGACUCCAAGGCAGGUGUGUCUGCCCAGAAGGCCUGCUCCUAGGAGAUACGAAGCCUGGUCUCGAGGGACAUUUUACACUUGGCUGCACCAGGGAGCACAUACCACGCAGAGGCUGUACACCCAUGGGGCAGGUGGGCAGUGAAUGUUUUAUUGCAGACCUCCUGUAGCACCAGAAGCAGCACAUUGGAGAGAAACACUUGCGGAGCAGAGUCUCAUUUGUGAAGAGCUACAGGUUCUGUGUCCCAGAAGCGCUUUACCUACAUGGCGAGGUGGAGCGGGGGGGUCGGGAAGGACUUCAGGAAUGACUUCUUGAGCAGCCCAGUGUCUCUUCGACGUAAGUCCCUCCCAUUGUGGAGAAGCCCAAGAGAGUACCGAGUGUGCAGUGGCCUCACGUGGUAUGAAAACUCAUUCGAAAUGGAGGACGCAUGAAAGCUUUCAAGAACAGAUACACAUCUGUCCAACACCAGAGACCGCUCUAGAGAAAGACCUUCCAUGUGUGGUGCGUGUUCCAUGUGUGGAAGUCUUGCAGCAGAAGGCACCGCCUCAGUCACCAUUGGAGAGGUCACACUGGAAGAGGGCCUCAGGGGUGCAGGGAACAGGGGAGAUUAUUUAGCAAGGUCACCCUCACUGAGCAUCACAGAGGUUACACUGGACAAAGGCCUUGUUUGUGCAGGGAAUGUGGGCACCUCUUUACUUACAGAUCCAGUCUCUUGAACCUGAGGUUUCAUACUGAAUCCAGGCCUCACGGGUGCGGGGAAUGGGGGAAAUCUUGUAGCCAGAGUUCUGUGCUCCUUCAGCAUCAGAAUUCAUGCUGGAGAAGGCCUUUUGAGGAUGGGGAAUGUGGGAAAUCCUUUAACUGAAGCUCUGUGCUCCUUCAGCAUCAGAAAGCUCACACUGGCUGGAGGCUUCCUGCAUGUGCGGAGUACUCAGAUGGACGCCCUGUCUCACUGAGCACCCAGAAAGUCACAUAGGAAACUUAGGUCAUUACCGUAGAUGUGCAGGGGAUGUGCGAUCUCUGUACUGCUGAGAACCCUGGAGGUGGUCCCUUGUGAGGGAUCUAAAUUCCACCUGAAUUUAAACUCCUACAUCUGAAUAGCCACCAAAUUCCAGGUAUGUGCGAGGUAUGUUUUCUUUUUUCAUUAAAAAAAAAAAAAAACUUUUAACAUUUAUUUUAUUUUUGAGAGAGAGAGUGCAAGCAGGGGAGGGACAGAGAAGGAGGGAGACACAGAAUCUGAAGCAGGCUCCAGGCUCUGAACUGUCAGCACAGAGCCUUAUGUGGAGCUCGAACUCAAUGUGGGGCUCAAACUCCCCAACCGUGAGACCGUGACCAGAGCCGUAGUCAGAUGCUUAAAUGACUGAGCCACCCAGGUACCUCUGGGAGAGGUAUGUUUUAAAAUCUGCCUUUGCCAGAUUUAUGCCCCCCAGUUCUGUUGCUGAAGCUGUUCUACGUCUACCCUGUGGAAGGUGCCCAUGGUAUGUAUCAUUCACUAACUACAUUGUGUUCAGGGAAGGAGCACUUUCCUGUUGGUGGAAGGGUAUCUGAGAAGCCUGAGCUUUCAUUCCUUUCUCAUUUCCUUCUCUCUGAUGAUUUAGGCCAUGGAUCUGAUCCAGUUUGGGCCUGGAAGACUUUGCUCAUGACUUGAAAACAGACUUCCUUUUUCAGGGAUGUUAUUGGUCUCACAUGACUUUUUUUUUUUUUUUUUAAUGCUUAUUUAUUUAUUUAAAUCAUUUAUUAUUAUUAUUAUUUGAUUUACAUCCAAGUUAGUUAGCAUAUAGUGCAACAGUGAUUUCAGGAGUAGAUUCCUUAAUGCCCCUUACCCAUUUAACCCAUCCCCUCUCCCACAACCCCUCUAGUAACCCUCUGUUUGUUCUCCAUAUUUAAGAGUCUCUUCUGUUUUGUCCCCCUCCCUGUUUUUAUAUUAUUUUUGCUUCCCUUCCCUUGUGUUCAUCUGUUCUGUGUCUUAAAGGCCUCAUAUGAAUGAAGUCAUAUGAUGUUUGUCUUUCUCUGACUAAUUUCAUUUAGCAUAAUACCCUCUAGUUCCAUUCACGUAGUUGCUAAUGGCAAGAUUUCAUUCCUUUCUGAUUGCCGAGUAAUACUCCAUUGUAUAUACUACAUCUUCUUUGUUCACUCCUCUGUCGAUGGAUAUGUGGGCUCUUUCCAUACUUUGGCUAUUGUCAAUAGCACUGCUAUAAACAUUGGGGUGCAUGUGUCCCUUCGAAACAGCAUACCUGUAUCCCUUGGAUAAAUACCUAGUAGUGCAACUGCUGGGUCGUAGGGUAGUUCUAUUUUUAAUUUUUUGAGGAACCUCCAUACUGUUUUGCAGAGUGGCUGCACCAGUUUGCAUUCCCACCAGCAGUGCAAAAGAGAUCCUCUUUCUCCUUUCCAACAUCUUUUGUUGCCUGAGUUGUUAAUAUUAGCCACUCUGAUAGGUAUGAGGUGGUUUCUCAUGGUGGUUUUGCUUUGUAUUUCCCUGAUGAUGAGUGAUGUUGAGCAUUUUUUCAUGUGUUCGUUGGCCAUCUGGAUGUCUUCUUUGGAGAAGUGUCUACUCAUGUCUUUUGCCCAUUUCGUCACUGGAUUAUUUGGUUUUUGGGUGUUGAGUUUGAUAAGUUCUUUAUAGAUUUUGGAUACUAACCCUUUAUCUGAUAUGUCAUUUGCAAAUAUCUUCUCCCAUUCUGUCAGUUGCCUUCUAGUUUUGCUGAAUGUUUCCUUCACUAUGUAGAAGUUUUUUAUUUUGAUGAGGUCCCAAUAGUUCAUUUUUGCUUUGGUUUCCUUGGCCUCUGAAGACGUGUUGAGUAAGAAGUUGCUGCGGCCAAGAUUAAAGAGGUUUUUGCCUGCUUUCUCCUCAAGGAUUUUGAUGGCUUCCUGUCUUCCAUCCAUUUUGAGUUUAUUUUUGUGUAUGGUGUAAGAAACUGGUCCAGGUUCAUUCUUCUGCAUGUCACUGUCCAGUUUUCCCAAUACCACUUGCUGAAGAGACUGUCUUUAAUCCAUUGGAUAUUCUUUCCUGCUUUGUCAAAGAUUAGUUGGCCAUAUGUUUGUAUGUCCAUUUCUGGGUUCUCUAUUCUGUUCCAUUGGUCUGAAUGUCUGUUUUUGUGCCAGUGUUUGUUUAUUUUUGGGAAAGGGAGCGAGUGCAUGUGCAUAAACUGGGGAGAGGCAGUGAAAGGGAGGGGGACAGUAUCUGAAGAGGGCCAUGUGCUGACAGCAGAGAGCCUACACAGGGCUCGAACUCAGGAACUGUGAGAUCGUGACCUGAGCUGAAGUCAGUUGCUCAACCAAUUGACCCACCCACGUGUCCCCUUCAUGUGGCUCUUGUGAUGGAAUUUUCCAGCCUCCCAAGCACAAACCUGGGAACAGCCUGCCUUCCACUGUUCUGGUUUGUGUGAUGAAGGCCUUAUUUCAGGCACCUUUAAUCUUGGGGGUUCCAGUCCCUGUGUUUGUGGCGGCUUGAAAACAACCUUUUGAGCUGUUCUGCUGAGAACUGUUGAGUUGUGCUAGCAUGAAGGUGUGACCGGCUUUUGUUGGGAUUCCAAAUUUGAUGCACCUUAGAUGGGAUAAUAUUACAGCAGAAUACGUGUAGCUCUCUCAUUUUGGCCUAGUUUGUGUUGCUGCUCUUAGCCUCCCGGAAAGACUGCAGGGCCUUAUGGUCCUUAUAUGUAGCUUCGAUGUUGUGAUGUUUUGUUGGUUCAGAGGUCAGCCUGAGGAAGAGACCAUUGUGACGACGUCUGGUGUUUGUGGGAGUAACAGAGUAUUCUGUUACUCGUUCAUAGGGGAUGUUGCGCUUUGCUCAGCACUGGUAAGGGAAAUCUGUUCCACAGAUUCCUGCAAAGGAGCAUGUGCCCUGUUGUCCAGAAUUCUUUAGGUUAGUGGUACCGGUUGAAAGGUUA